AAACGGCCCGAGUACUUUAAUUUAGGAACAUAACUUCAAUGAUUGACAACACCUCAUUGCAGACCCACCAUCUGUGCAAUCACCCGAGGAAGGCAGGGCCUCAGCUGAAAUGGGUUCUCCAGUUGGAGUUGUAGUGGAUGCCUCAUAUUAUGUAAAGUUUUCUGAAGCUGGUGUUCAAGCCACCACUUCGACAGCUGAAGCUUCAGUAAAUACCACUUCAUUGCUAAAGGAUGCUGAAACUCAAACUGACAUCACAGGCAGUGUUCUGAAGAGUUUUGAAGCUGAUAACCAGGUCCUACGCACCGAGUUACAGGAGGUGAAGGGCUCUCUGGACACACUUCGGCUGUCGAAAGCUUCUUUGGAGCAUGACAACACCCGUGUGCAAUUUUACACGGGCCUA